rnacentral:rRNA from 1 species
AACGUAGGUAACCUGCCCAUGUGUCCGGGAUAACUGCUGGAAACGGUAGCUAAAACCGGAUAGGUAUACAGAGCGCAUGCUCAGUAUAUUAAAGCGCCCAUCAAGGCGUGAACAUGGAUGGACCUGCGGCGCAUUAGCUAGUUGGUGAGGUAACGGCCCACCAAGGCGAUGAUGCGUAGCCGGCCUGAGAGGGUAAACGGCCACAUUGGGACUGAGGCACGGCCCAA